rnacentral:rRNA from 1 species
AGGACGAACGCUGGCGGCGUGCUUAACACAUGCAAGUCGAGCGGUGAUCCUCCUUCGGGAGGUGAUCAGCGGCGAACGGGUGAGUAACACGUGGGCAACCUGCCCCUCACACUGGGAUAACCUCGGGAAACCGGGGCUAAUACCGGAUACGACCUCGAGCGGCAUCUCUUGAGGUGGAAAGCUCCGACGGUGAGGGAUGGGCCCGCGGCCUAUCAGCUUGUUGGUGGGGUAAUGGCCUACCAAGGCGACGACGGGGUA